rnacentral:rRNA from 1 species
CCCUUAGAUGUUCUGGGCCGCACGCGCGCUACACUGAUCGAGUCAGCGAGCAUGUCCUUCGCCGGUAGGUGCGGGGAAUCUUGUGAAACUCGGUCGUGCUGGGGAUAGAUCUUUGCAAUUCUUGAUCUUGAACGAGGAAUUCCUAGUAAGCGCGAGUCAGCAGCUCGCGUUGAUUACGUCCCUGCCCUUUGUACACACCGCCCGUCGCUACUACCGAUUGAAUGGUCCGGUGAAAUUCUCGGACGCGGACUUGCGAUGUUAAUUCGGAGCUUGACUGUGAAAGUUAAUUAAACCUUACCAUUUAGAGGAAGGUGAANUCGUAACA